GGCAUAUCAAUAAGCGGAGGAAAAGAAACCAACAGGGAUUGCCCUAGUAACGGCGAGUGAAGCGGCAACAGCUCAAAUUUGAAAUCUGGCCCUAGCGGUCCGAGUUGUAAUUUGUAGAGGAUGCUUUUGGUUAGGUGCCUUCCGAGUUCCCUGGAACGGGACGCCGGAGAGGGUGAGAGCCCCGUACGGUUGGACACCGAGCCUCUAUAUAGCUCCUUCGACGAGUCGAGUAGUUUGGGAAUGCUGCUCUAAAUGGGAGGUAAAUUUCUUCUAAAGCUAAAUACCGGCCAGAGACCGAUAGCGCACAAGUAGAGUGAUCGAAAGAUGAAAAGUACUUUGAAAAGAGGGUUAAAUAGCACGUGAAAUUGUUGAAAGGGAAGCGUUUGCGACCAGACUUUUUCUAGGCGGAUCAUCCGGUGUUCUCACCGGUGCACUUCGCCUGGUUUAGGCCAGCAUCGGCUCUCUUAGGGGGAUAAAGGCCUGGGGAACGUAGCUCCUUCGGGAGUGUUAUAGCCCCUAGCGUAAUACCCUUCGGGGGGCCGAGGAACGCGCAUCUGCAAGGAUGCUGGCGUAAUGGUCGUCAACGACCCGUCUUGAAACACGGACCAAGGAGUCGAACAUUUGUGCGAGUGUUUGGGUGUUAAACCCUCACGCGUAAUGAAAGUGAACGGAGGUGAGAGCCCUUCGGGGUGCAUCAUCGACCGAUCCUGAUGUCUUCGGAUGGAUUUGAGUAAGAGCAUAACUGUUCGGACCCGAAAGAUGGUGAACUAUGCGUGGAUAGGGUGAAGCCAGAGGAAACUCUGGUGGAGGCUCGCAGCGGUUCUGACGUGCAAAUCGAUCGUCAAAUCUGCGCAUGGGGGCGAAAGACUUAUCGAACCAUCUAGUAGCUGGUUACCG
rnacentral:rRNA from 1 species